rnacentral:rRNA from 1 species
GGGCAAGGCACGGUCUUUGGCCGUGUUGAGUGGAUUGUUCGAAUAAGCACCGGCUAACUACGUGCCAGCAGCCGCGGUAAUACGUAGGGUGCAAGCGUUAUCCGGAUUUAUUGGGCGUAAAGGGCUCGUAGGCGGUUCGUCGCGUCCGGUGUGAAAGUCCAUCGCUUAACGGUGGAUCCGCGCCGGGUACGGGCGGGCUUGAGUGCGGUAGGGGAGACUGGAAUUCCCGGUGUAACGGUGGAAUGUGUAGAUAUCGGGAAGAACACCAAUGGCGAAGGCAGGUCUCUGGGCCGUUACUGACGCUGAGGAGCGAAAGCGUGGGGAGCGAACAGGAUUAGAUACCCUGGUAGUCCACGCCGUAAACGGUGGAUGCUGGAUGUGGGGCCCUUUUUCCGGGUCCUGUGUCGGAGCUAACGCGUUAAGCAUCCCGCCUGGGGAGUACGGCCGCAAGGCUAAAACUCAAAGAAAUUGACGGGGGCCCGCACAAGCGGCGGAGCAUGCGGAUUAAUUCGAUGCAACGCGAAGAACCUUACCUGGGCUUGACAUGUGCCGGACGCCCGCGGAGACGCGGGUUCCCUUCGGGGCCGGUUCACAGGUGGUGCAUGGUCGUCGUCAGCUCGUGUCGUGAGAUGUUGGGUUAAGUCCCGCAACGAGCGCAACCCUCGCCGCGUGUUGCCAGCGGGUCAUGCCGGGAACUCACGUGGGACCGCCGGGGUUAACUCGGAGGAAGGUGGGGAUGACGUCAGAUCAUCAUGCCCCUUACGUACAGGGCUUCACGCAUGCUACAAUGGCCG